rnacentral:rRNA from 1 species
UACGAGAGGCGCAAACGUUAUUCGGAUUUACUGGGCUUAAAGAGUUCGUAGGCGGCGCAGAAAGUAGGGUGUGAAAGCCCUCGGCUCAACCGAGGAAUUGCGCUCUAAACUACUGUGCUUGAGGGACCUAGAGGUGAGCGGAACUGAUGGUGGAGCGGUGAAAUGCGUUGAUAUCAUCAGGAACACCGGAGGCGAAGGCGGCUCACUGGGGGUCUUCUGACGCUGAGGCGCGACAGCGUGGGGAGCAAACGGG